GAUGGCUUCCAUGAUGAAGAUUAUAUCUUAGAAGGAUGAGGAAACUGAUUGUAAUGUAGGGAUUCUCGAAGUUGUGCAGGCUGUGAGUCAAUCUAAAGCAAAGCACGUCCUUCCUCGAGUUUUUCCAGCACAUGGAUUAUAAUGUCCCUUUAGAUACGGUCAUCACUGAAGAUGGAAAUAGGGAAGGGAGUUGGUAUUAUAAGGUUUGCUGGGAUGCUGUUUCUUCAUGCUUUGUAUUGGCUGCGCUUGGAUCUGAGUUUCAGAACCUGAUACAAAUUCUUGACACAGUGGAAG